UACGGAGGAUCCCAAGCGUUAUCCGGAUUCAUUGGGUUUAAAGGGUGCGUAGGCGGAAUGAUAAGUCAGUAGUGAAAUCCCUUCGCUUAACGAAGGAACUGCCAUUGAUACUGUCAAUCUUGAGUACAUUUGAUGUGGGCGGAAUGUGUCAUGUAGCGGUGAAAUGCUUAGAUAUGGCACAGAACACCGAUUGCGAAGGCAGCUCACAAAACUGUAACU
rnacentral:rRNA from 1 species